rnacentral:tRNA from 1 species
CCGCCAGACCGCAAUGCAUGGAAGACUGCCCUCCGAAGGCAGGGGUUGCUGGUUCGAUCCCAGCCGGGCGCGCCA